CCUGACAGAUGGUCCUGCCUCUCUUCUUCUACUGCACAGCCAUUUGUUGAGCAGGUGUGGAGAAAACACUCAUGUACGCCGCCUCUCCUGCUUCUGAAGCAACAAAGAACACGAAGCAUACGCUGCCCAGUGCUGAGACCUCUGCGCCUUGAACAGCAAAGGGAAAAUGUGUUCUGGAGAGCACUGAAGAGAGAGCAGCUGGGGCGCUUCUAAGCAGUAACGAGAUCAUCAAGUUUCCCUUAAAGUAACUGGUUUCAGAUGCAUUUUGAUGAGGCCAUGCUGUAGGCAGGAUGCGGCUAUUUUAAAAGGCCUGAUGGAGGCUGGGCGACAUUCUUCAUAAACGCCAGUGACGGGGUUCCCUGUUCUCAUGGAGUGUCGGGAUGCUUUGGAAACCCUGUAUGUACUUACGGCGAAUGACCACACCGGGACAGCUUGUCAGGAGGCAGGAGUGACGUCACCUGUCAAUUUCUCUGGCUCAGUUAGCCCUACCCCAAAGGCCCUGCCUGUGCCCUGCAGCACUUUCCCGAAGGGCAGAGGGGCCUUGGAGGAGGAAGCCAUGGUCAACCCCACUGUGUUCUUCGACAUCACGGCCAAUGAUGAACCCUUGGGCCGCGUCUCCUUCGAGCUGUUUGCAGACAAAGUUCCAAAGACAGCAGAAAACUUCCGUGCUCUGAGCCCUGGAGAGAAAGGAUUUGUCUAUAAGGCUUCCUCC
rnacentral:lncRNA from 1 species